rnacentral:rRNA from 1 species
GACGAACGCUGGCGGUGCGCCUAACACAUGCAAGUCGAACGGAGCUUAGAGAGCUUGCUUUUUAAGCUUAGUGGCGAACGGGUGAGUAACGCGUGAGUAACCUGCCCUAGAGUGGGGGACAACAGUUGGAAACGACUGCUAAUACCGCAUAAGCCCACGGUACCGCAUGGUACUGAGGGAAAAGGAUUUAUUCGCUUUAGGAUGGACUCGCGUCCAAUUAGCUAGUUGGUGAGGUAACGGCCCACCAAGGCGACGAUUGGUAGCCGGACUGAGAGGUUGAACGGCCACAUUGGGACUGAGACACGGCCCAGACUCCUACGGGAGGCAGCAGUGGGGGAUAUUGCACAAUGGGGGAAACCCUGAUGCAGCGACGCCGCGUGGAGGAAGAAGGUUUUCGGAUUGUAAACUCCUGUCGUUAGGGACGAUAAUGACGGUAC